GCCAGGUGUGGUGGCACACACCUAUAGUCCCAGCUACUCCAGAGGCUGAGUUGGGAGGAUCACUUGAGUCCAGGAGUUCUGAGCUACAUGGCUCUGUGUAAUCAGGUGGCCGCACUAAGUUCGGCAUCAAUAUGGUGACCUCCCAGGAGCAGGGGACCACCAGGCUGCCUAAGGAGGGAUGAACGGGCCCAAGUCAGAAACAGAGCCGGUCAAAACUCCCAUACUGAUCAGUAAAUUUAGACUCCUGUACUCUCUCAUGUGUGUCAUAUGUGUGAGGUGAAACUAAAAAU
ensembl:misc_RNA Metazoa_SRP Metazoan signal recognition particle RNA